rnacentral:rRNA from 1 species
UACGAAGGGGGCUAGCGUUGCUCGGAAUCACUGGGCGUAAAGCGCACGUAGGCGGAUUGUUAAGUCAGGGUGAAAUCCCGAGGCUCAACCUCGGAACUGCCUUUGAUACUGGGGAUCUCGAGUCCGGGAGAGGUGAGUGGAACUGCGAGUGUAGAGGUGAAAUUCGUAGAUAUUCGCAAGAACACCAGUGGCGAAGGCGGCUCACUGGCCCGGAACUGACGCUGAGGUGCGAAAGCGUGGGGAGCAACAGGAU